rnacentral:piRNA from 2 species
GAUUCAAUUUUAAGAAGGUGUCUA